UUCCAAUGCAUCUGUUUCUAUCUGUAUUGAAAAAAUGAAGAAUGCAAUAAAGGAAAAUCCUUCUGAACUUGACGCUAUAUGCAAGAAAUCAUAUGAAGUUAUUGCAUGUGUUGACAAAGUUGCUACAGCAUGCAAAAAUAUUCCUGUGGAAUUAAACAUCUUCUAUGUUAAAGAUCAGAUGAAAAAGCAUGGCUGCAAAGAUUCCUCAGCAGGUUGCAGAA